AUCUACAUUUUGUGCUUUUUGAUGUUCCUCUCCUGCUUAGAGACCUGAAAUUGAUUGAACUUCAAUUCGCAGCAAGAGCUUUGAUUACUAAGGUGUGUAUGCGUAGUUUAUGCUAGUAUAAAUCUUGAAGCUACAUGGUCUUAUUUCCUUGGUAGUAUCAUCAUACCGCCCGGGUUGGAGGCGUAGAAAUUUAUCCUUUAUGCAGAUUUCUUUCAAUGUAUCUGGAUAAAUAAGUCCUACUUAAUUUUAUUAUACGACAUUAAGUUCUCAAAAAAUAUCAUUAUAAUUUAUAAGAGAAAUUAGUUUUGCUUUGAAACGCCACGUUUUUUUUUACUUAUCACAAAAUAACCUUGGCCCCAUGAUUUUGAAAACUCGGUCGAAUUGAAAAUCGAUGACUUAAGUGGUUCGGUUUGUAAAGGAAAUCGUCCAAUUCUAAAAUUGGAAUUGAACCGGUGAAUCGGACGAGAAUCACCAUUACUUCUACUGCCACCAUUGGCUUUUGAGGAACUCAUUAGGCAUGAACUUGUGUCCUCUUGAAGUAUUCAGUUAGCUUUAAUCCACACAUGCUCCCCCCACCCCCACCAAAAACACUUUUCCUUCAACCCUUUGUCAAAAAGAAAUGAACUUUGAAACUCCAUUCAGCAUCACCACUUCUCUUUAGUAAGGUGCACAGAGAUAAAAAUUGCAGCCAAACAACACAAGAGGGAAGCAAAGAGGGAGAUCUCUCUCUCUCUCUCUCUCUCUCUCUCUCUCUCUCUCUCUCUCUCUCUCUCUCUCUCAUAAUUAUUAAGAGAAGCAAGGUCUCUCUCUCUCUCUCUCUCUCUCUCUCUCUCUCUCUCUUGUCAGGUGUAUUUGAAUUGUGAGAUCUUACCAUCCAUUUCUUGAUGUCUUUGAGUAGACUGGCAUUAGUGCAAAGGCUCAAAGGAAGGUUGCUAGAGAGAUUAAAACUGCUCGUGCUUUUGGCUUGAUGCCUUUUACAACAAUGGGUACAAAGGCAUUUAUUUCUGGGAGAACCAUGGAGAAUGUUGAUGAUGACUUUGCAUAUGAGACUUUUGGUAGAAAAAUGCAUGCCAAUCCUGCUAUGGAAGAUGACUACUCACGAGAGCGUAGAUAAAGAUGUGUGUUCUGUGGGGGUUCAGGUAGCUUGCAUCUAAUCUACAUUUUGUGCUUUUUGAUGUUCCUCUCCUGCUUAGAGACCUGAAAUUGAUUGAACUUCAAUUCGCAGCAAGAGCUUUGAUUACUAAGGUGUGUAUGCGUAGUUUAUGCUAGUAUAAAUCUUGAAGCUACAUGGUCUUAUUUCCUUGGUAGUAUCAUCAUACCGCCCGGGUUGGAGGCGUAGAAAUUUAUCCUUUAUGCAGAUUUCUUUCAAUGUAUCUGGAUAAAUAAGUCCUACUUAAUUUUAUUAUACGACAUUAAGUUCUCAAAAAAUAUCAUUAUAAUUUAUAAGAGAAAUUAGUUUUGCUUUGAAACGCC
rnacentral:lncRNA from 1 species